rnacentral:rRNA from 1 species
GGGAAAUGGCAUUCGUAUUUGCAGCGCUUAUUGCGCGGCGAAAACCUUACACACUAUGUUUUUUUAAUUUGAAACUAUUGUUUUGGACUGGCUUAGAAAUAGGUUGGGCCAAAGGUUUUAUCAAAACUUCAAUAUUUAUUAUUGAAUUGUUAUUUUUAAUUUUAUGUCAAUUUGUUGAUUAAUAUCAAAAAUCUUCAAAACUUUCAACAACGGAUCUCUUGGUUCUCGCAUCGAUGAAGAACGCAGCGAAAUGCGAUAAGUAAUAUGAAUUGCAGAUUUUCGUGAAUCAUCGAAUCUUUGAACGCACAUUGCGCCCUUUGGUAUUCCAAAGGGCAUGCCUGUUUGAGCGUCAUUUCUCUCUCAAAUCUUCGGAUUUGGUUUUGAGUGAUACUCUUAGUCAGACUAAGCGUUUGCUUGAAAUGUAUUGGCAUGAGUGGUACUAGAUAGUGCUGAACUGUUUUCAAUGUAUUAGGUUUAUCCAACUCAUUGACCAGUAAAGUAUUUGUUUAUUACACAGGCUCGGCCUUACAACAACAAACAAAGUUUGACCUCAAAUCAGGUAGGACUACCCGCUGAACUUAAGCAUAUCAUAGCCGGAAGGAA